GUUGCGUUGCCACGGCAGCGCGGUUGGCCGGCCGCUGGUUCUUGCGUUCCGGGUGGUGGUGGGGCUGGAGCAGGCUUGGAUCCGCCGUUCCCGGGUUAGGUGAGCUUUCCGGAGCUUCAGUAAGGCCGCGGCUGUUCGCGGCGAGAGCAGGGGCUGCGCCGGGCUCUGGCGGCCAGGCCUGCCCGGGGCUACGGCGUCGGGGCCCGGGCCGUGUGUCGCAGCCCUCCUGUGGUCCCGCUGCCCUCGUGAGAGCAGAGGCCCAGACCCCUUCCCGUGGUUCCCGCUUCUGCAGCGCGAUUAUUUCACUAAAACAACUUUGAUUUUUAAAGUUUGUAAAGAGCUCUCGUCUGUGUGAUCGGGGCUUCGCUGACUUUGCAGCCGACCUAAGCCCCUGGGCUUGGGCCCAGGAGAGGUUGAAUGGGGACCUAAGAAAGGAAUUGGUUCAUUCGACAGACGUUUUCUGAGCAGCUGCUGCGUGCAAGGCACGGUGCCGGCGCGGGACCUGUGCCCAGAGCUUGAGAAAUGAGAAGCAGAGUCAUUGAUUCCAGGUAAAUCAGAGGAACAAACAUCAUACAGAAAUAUACAGGACAGUAACAUACAGGAAGCGAUGUGAUGUCGAAGCUUAACUGUUGUUUCAAAAGUCCAGCAUCUGGUGCACCUAACAGUAGGGGCUAUAUUAUUUGCGAAGUCACAUAACUUUUACUCAUACUUAUGUUCUGAUCCCACAUGCCGCGGAGCAACUAAGCCCGUGUGCCACAACUACUGAGCCUGCACUCUAGAGCCCGCAAGCCACAACUACUGAAGCCCGCGCGCCUACAGCCCAUGCUCCGCAACAAGAGAAGCCACCGCGAUGAGAAGCCCGUGCACAGCAACAAAAACCCAACUCAGCCAAAAAUAAAAAUAAAUAAAUUUAUUUAUUUAAAAAAAGAAUGAACCAGAAGUAAAAAAAGAAAGAUUGUUAAUAACAUCUUUUUGACAGACUUGAGCACUUUGGGUUCCUCUUUUUACCUUCACAAGCACUUCUUAAAUCUUAACUGUGGAAUCGUAGCAAAGCCAGCAAGUCCCACAGAAAAUUAAAUAUUCCUGAAUUAUCUCCAGGGUAUGUAUGUAUUGGAUCCAGAUGUGAUUUUUAUGCUUUGUGAAACUAAACUGACAACAAUUUCAAUGCAAAGCUCCAAUGAAACAAAUAACCCAUAGCUUUUCACUUCUGAAAGUUUCAUUCUCUUUUGUCCCCAUGCUGCUUUUUCUCAGUGAGGCCUGAAGUCUCUGGCUAUAUAUAGGCUUUUAAACUCAGACAUCUGCUGGACUUUGUUCUAUUGAGAACUUUAUUUCGAGGGAAAGAACCCAAGUCAUAUCUCCUGUCAGGUAAUACUAAGAAUUAAGUGGUAAUCAUAAAACAUGUUAAGACUUAAGUAAAGGUGAUAAAAGAAUUGU
rnacentral:lncRNA from 1 species